GCUGUGGCAGUUCAGUGGAAAAAUCCUUACCUUCUAUGUAGGAUUUCUAGGUUCCAUUCCCAGCCAAUGCA
rnacentral:tRNA from 1 species